ensembl:lncRNA
GAGGCGCUGCAGGUGAAGCUCCACCCAACUCCUUAACUGAAACUGUUCAUUAGCCAAAUAUUUUGGAACUGGGUGAAGAAAUGCUUGAUUAUCCUGACAGAGGACUGAAGCCUGUCGGACCCACAGACAUAUUUCAGAUGGAGGCAGGGGCCACGAGGCCAGGAAUACAGGCAGCCUCUAGAAGCUGAGAACUGCUGGGCGGCAGGCAGCACAGGAACAGGGAUCUCAGCGCUCCAAUUGUGUGAAGCUGAAUUCUGCCAACAAUCUGAAGGAGCUUGGAAGCAGAUUCGUCCCCAGAGCCUCCUUAGAGGACAGCAACUCUGCCAACAGCUUGACUCCAGCCUGGUGAGAGCCUAAGCAGAGACUCAGCUGACCCACGCCGAGCCCCGCCGUGGACCUGCAGAGCUGUGCGACCACAGACGCGUAUGGUUUGAACCCACUAAGCUCGUCGUAAUUUGCUCUGGCGGUAUAGAAAACUGAUAACAACUGAAACGCUGCUUUGAAUUUAUAGAUUGCUUCAAUUAUUAUGUUAGGAGUUUGGGGCCCUUUACUUCUUUUCCUCCCAGAGGUUCUUACUGGUGGUGUAGAUGCCCAAGUGCUAACAGCCACAUGAAGCAGGAAGUACUGCCGUAUGAAUUUGGGCAAGCACCAGCAACCCCUUCAAAGCGAGGGUCCCGCUAUCAAGCUUGUAGCCAAGAAUAUAGCUAAGGCCUGAGGCCACCUUGGAGCACGUCCUCCUCUGAAUCAAACAUGGCUGGGCCAGAAGCUCUUCAGACACUGGGGACAAAGGGCUGAAAACAUGGCCGUGGCCCUACCUAAGUAUGCUGCCAACAAGGAGGUCAUGACCUCUAAAGGCAAGAGGAACAUGCAAACACUGAAAGCAUAAUGACACCACCCACUAGUAAAAGGUGGCCCAGUGAAGGAGGGGCUCUUACCACUCAGAGCAGGCAUUCCUGGUCCGCUCAGGAAGACUGAGCGACAGGUGGUGGGAGGAGGGGUGGGCGUUUCCUGUGCACAAGGCUGCUCUAGGAGGAGGGGUAGAAAGGACAUUCUACAACUGCCAUCUGACAGACUGAGUGUUCUUUUUGGGUGGUCAUGGGAUGGGGAAGGGAACGUGAAAAACUGUGAAUAAGUACCAUUUGGAAUACUGUGUCUGAGUCUGGCAGAGUGAGUUCCUUUAAAGCAUUAAAUCCCAGAUGCGUUUAAAGUAAUUGUGAUGACAGCAACAAUCACUGGAUAUAAGAAAAAGAAUAAAGAAUUAGAUCCUUCUCUAUAAGCCUAACAUUUGAUUCUCACAUGUGUUUAAAAUUCCUGACUUAUAUAAAAAUGGACCGCUUAAGAGGAGUCCUUUAGGAUGAUAUCAAUAUUUCCUAUUUUUGUCUCACGAAUAAGAGUGAGAGGAAAUCACGCUGAGUGAUUUGAAGCUGGGAUCAUUGGAAGAGCGGGAUUAAUGGUUCCCUUAGGUACAUAGAAAGGGAUUGAAGAGUUGAGCCAUCAAAUAGUCUGGGAAGUCCGUGGAGACUUACCAGCCAUGGUUGGAGGUGAGAUGGAGAUGAGAGUGGGGGCACUGUGAGUUCCAGGAGGGUGAGGGCAGUUUUAGGACAAGGCUUUCAGAGGUGUCAGGAGCAGGUGAGAUUAUGGAGUAGCUGAGUGGGGGUUUUAGUAUAACUAUAUUUUUACAACUACUUAAAGUGUUCUUGGCCUUAAUAUUUGUCCCAGAUUUGAGAAUAUAGUACAAUGGCUGCAUCUUAAGAGUUCACUUGAGGUCACUUUCCUCUUGGUUUCAAGAAAUAACUUGGUCCUUAUGUCUCCUUUCUCUUCGUACCUCUUAGACAUCCAGGUGGAGAUGUUGAGUAGGUAGUUGGAUUAAAUAGUCUAGCUGGACUGGAGAUGCCCAUUUGACAUGUGUCAGUGUAUGGUGGUAUUAAUGCCAUGGAACUGGGAGAGAGUGCAGCUAGAGGAGUUUGCUGUCAUUGGUACUCUGGGCUCUCCUCCAUGCCUGAUAGAAAAAGAGCAACCAGGAAUUGAGAUGAGACAAAGAUUUCCCUGAGGUCGGGAAAACCAGGAGAAUGGUGUCACCAAAGCCAGGGAAGUGUUUCAAGGAGGGUGGAUCGAAAAAGAAGAGUGUGUUCAGCAAGGUCAACUGCUACUGACAGAUGGAGUAAGAUGAAAAUGGGAACUUGGCCCAUGGCUUUGGCCAGAUACAGGUUAUUGGUAACCUUGAUAAGGGCCAAUUUAAUGGAACAAUGGGGAUGUAAGCCAGGAUUGAGCGACUUGGGUAGGGAAAGUAAUGAGGAAGUGGAGACACAAAAUAUAGACAACUCUUUCCAUGCAUUUUGUUAGGAUGAGGAGAGGAGAAAUGGAGAAGUAUCUAAAGGGCA